UACAGAGGUCCCAAGCGUUGUUCGGAUUCACUGGGCGUAAAGGGUGCGUAGGUGGUGAGGUAAGUCGGAUGUGAAAUCUCCGAGCUCAACUCGGAAAUGGCAUUGGAAACUACCUUGCUCGGGGGUUGGAGGGGGGACUGGAAUGCUUGGUGUAGCAGUGAAAUGCGUAGAUAUCAAGCGGAACACCAGUGGCGAAGGCGAGUCCCUGGACAACUCCUGACACUGAGGCACGAAAGCCAGGGGAGCAAACGGG
rnacentral:rRNA from 1 species